rnacentral:rRNA from 1 species
UGCUUAACACAUGCAAGUCGAGCGAGAAAGCUCCUUCGGGAGCGAGUACAGCGGCGAACGGGUGAGUAACACGUGGGCAACCUGCCCAAGGGAGCGGGACAACCCGGGGAAACUCGGGCUAAUACCGCAUAACGCGUCAUGUCAUAAGGCGUGACGCCAAAAGGUAGCUUCGGCCUCCGCCCUUGGAUGGGCCCGCGGCGCAUUAGCUUGUUGGUGGGGUAACGGCCUACCAAGGCGACGAUGCGUAGCUGGUCUGAGAGGACGAUCAGCCACACUGGGACUGAGACACGGCCCAGACUCCUACGGGAGGCAGCAGUGGGGAAUCUUGCGCAAUGGGCGAAAGCCUGACGCAGCAACGCCGCGUGAGGGAAGAAGGCUUUCGGGUUGUAAACCUC